GUGAAAGAGAAGAUACAGAGCAGGAAGAGAAACAAGAUAAAGAAAAAAAAAGAGAGAGAAUAAAUACAGAAGGUGUCCCUGCGACAUAUACCAUGGGACGGCGAACCCUUGGGUAAUGCUCUGCUAGUGAAGUGUGCCAGAGGUAUUUAGUAGUGAAGAGAUUCAUUGUAUAUAUUGUUUGAAGUGAAUUGCUGAAAGACCACCAAACCUGAAACAUUUUGAAGAUGAGAUAAAUACAACUCAACUGCCUAGUGACAAACUGGACUGCAAGCACGCUGUUAAAAUGGAGAGUUUAAUGAAUCCACUCAUGUCCACAAACCACUGGAAUCUUAAUUUUUCUCUGGAAUAUGGGGCUUCUUCCUAAGCCAAAUCUUCAUU